AUUGAACGCUGGCGGAAUGCUUUACACAUGCAAGUCGAACGGCAGCAUAGGUGCUUGCACCUGAUGGCGAGUGGCGAACGGGUGAGUAAUACAUCGGAACGUACCUUAUCGUGGGGGAUAACGCAGCGAAAGCUGUGCUAAUACCGCAUACGCCCUGAGGGGGAAAGCGGGGGAUCGAAAGACCUCGCGCGAUUAGAGCGGCCGAUGCCUGAUUAGCUUGUUGGUGGGGUAAAAGCCCACCAAGGCGACGAUCAGUAGCUGGUCUGAGAGGACGAUCAGCCACACUGGGACUGAGACACGGCCCAGACUCCUACGGGAGGCAGCAGUGGGGAAUUUUGGACAAUGGGGGCAGCCCUGAUCCAGCAAUGCCGCGUGAGUGAAGAAGGCCUUCGGGUUGUAAAGCUCUUUUGUCAGGGAAGAAACACCGGCUCUAACACAGUCCGGGAAUGACGGUACCUGAAGAAUAAGCACCGGCUAACUACGUG
rnacentral:rRNA from 1 species